ACUCCUGCGGGAGGCAGCAGUGGGGAAUAUUGGACAAUGGGCGCAAGCCUGAUCCAGCCAUGCCGCGUGAGUGAUGAAGGCCCUAGGGUUGUAAAGCUCUUUCACCGGUGAAGAUAAUGACGGUAACCGGAGAAGAAGCCCCGGCUAACUUCGUGGCAGCAGCCGCGGUAAUACGAAGGGGGCUAGCGUUGUUCGGAUUUACUGGGCGUAAAGCGCACGUAGGCGGACUAUUAAGUCAGGGGUGAAAUCCCGGGGCUCAACCCCGGAACUGCCUUUGAUACUGGUAGUCUUGAGGUCGAGAGAGGUGAGUGGAAUUCCGAGUGUAGAGGUGAAAUUCGUAGAUAUUCGGAGGAACACCAGUGGCGAAGGCGGCUCACUGGCUCGAUACUGACGCUGAGGUGCGAAAGCGUGGGGAGCAAACAGGAUUAGAUACCCGUGUAGUCCCAUG
rnacentral:rRNA from 1 species